ACUAGAAGCUCUUCCAUUUCCUGCUUUUCUGAAAUUUGGUAUUUAGGGGCUUUCCAUUGGUCCCAAAUAACUAGCACUAGACUCUUCACCCCAUGCUGCUUGGAGGAAAUUCAAGAGACCGAGAAAGGUAUCCUUGGCCAUCUUACAAUACGGUAUUGCGAUUCCGUCGCCAUCUGGCAUUCUUCCAGAUCUGGCGUAGGCUCUGGGUCCACUCAUCCCCCCAACCCCACCCCUGCUGAGGCCUCAGGGGGAGCUGCCUCAGCAAGUGGGGUUUUUCUCUUGACCCACGCUCUGGUCUCCUAUGGGCCCUGGUCCUCAAUUUAUACCCUCUAGGACAAGUGACCUAACAAUGUGCCUGC
rnacentral:lncRNA from 1 species